rnacentral:rRNA from 1 species
UACAGAGGGGGCAAGCGUUGUUCGGAAUUACUGGGCGUAAAGGGCGCGUAGGCGGCCUGUUAAGUCGAACGUGAAAUCCCCGGGCUCAACCCGGGAACUGCGUCCGAUACUGGCAGGCUUGAAUCCGGGAGAGGGAUGUGGAAUUCCAGGUGUAGCGGUGAAAUGCGUAGAUAUCUGGAGGAACACCGGUGGCGAAGGCGGCAUCCUGGACAGGUAUUGACGCUGAGGCGCGAAAGCCAGGGGAGCAAACGGG